ACAAGCGGUGGAUGAUGUGGUUAAUUCGAUGCAACGCGAAAACCUUACCACCUUUGACAUGUACGGAAUCCUUUAGAGAUAGAGGAGUGCUCGAAAGAGAGCCGUAACACAGGUGCUGCAUGGCUGUCGUCAGCUCGUGUCGUGAGAUGUUGGGUUAAGUCCCGCAACGAGCGCAACCCUUGUCAUUAGUUGCUACAUUUGGUUGGGCACUCUAAUGAGACUGCCGGCGACAAGCCGGAGGAAGGUGGGGAUGACGUCAAGUCCUCAUGGCCCUUAUAGGUGGGGCUACACACGUCAUGCAAUGGCUGGUACAAAGGGUUGCCAACCCGCGAGGGGGAGCUAAUCCCACAAAGCCAGUCGUAGUCCGGAUCGUAGUCUGCAACUCGACUACGUGAAGUCGGAAUCGCUAGUAAUCGUGGAUCAGAAUGUCACGGUGAAUACGUUCCCGGGUCUU
rnacentral:rRNA from 1 species